rnacentral:rRNA from 1 species
UACAGAGGGGGCGAGCGUUGUUCGGAAUUACUGGGCGUAAAGGGCGCGUAGGCGGCCUGCUAAGUCGAACGUGAAAUCCCUGGGCUCAACCCAGGAACUGCGUCCGAUACUGGUUGGCUUGAAUCCGGGAGAGGGAUGUGGAAUUCCAGGUGUAGCGGUGAAAUGCGUAGAUAUCUGGAGGAACACCGGUGGCGAAGGCGACAUCCUGGACCAACACUGACGCGUGAGGAGCGAAAAGCGUGGGGAGCAAACAGG